rnacentral:rRNA from 1 species
UUGACAUCCAGAGAACUUAGCAGAGAUGCUUUGGUGCCUUCGGGAACUCUGAGACAGGUGCUGCAUGGCUGUCGUCAGCUCGUGUUGUGAAAUGUUGGGUUAAGUCCGCAACGAGCGCAACCCUUAUCCUUUGUUGCCAGCGGCUCGGCCGGGAACUCAAAGGAGACUGCCGGUGAUAAACCGGAGGAAGGUGGGGAUGACGUCAAGUCAUCAUGGCCCUUACGGCCAGGGCUACACACGUGCUACAAUGGCGCAUACAAAGAGAAGCGACCUCGCGAGAGCAAGCGGACCUCAUAAAGUGCGUCGUAGUCCGGAUUGGAGUCUGCAACUCGACUCCAUGAAGUCGGAAUCGCUAGUAAUCGUAGGUCAGAAUGCUACGGUGAAUACGUUCCCGGGCCUUGUACACACCGCCCGUCACACCAUGGGAGUGGGUUGCAAAAGAAGUAGGUAGCUUAACCUUCGGGAGGGCGCUUACCACUUUGUGAUUCAUGACUGGGGUGAAGUCGUAACAAGGUAGGCGUAGACGU